UUAUAGUACCUGUGAAGAUGCAGGUUACCCGCGACAGGACGGAAAGACCACAUGGAGCUUUACUGCAUCCUGAUAUGGAAUGUUUGUACCGCUUGUACAGGAUAGGUAGGAGCCGCAGAGACGUGUGCGCUAGCAUACGAGGAGUCAAUGGUGGGAUACUACCCUGGCUGCCUGACCAUUCUAACCCGCCACGCUUAGCGCGCGGGGAGACAGUGCCAGGUGGGCAGUUUGCCUGGGGCGGUCGCCCCCCAAAGAGGAACGGUGGCCCCCCAAGGCUCUCUCAGCAUGGCUGGAAAUCAUUCGCAGAGGGGAAAA
rnacentral:rRNA from 1 species